CCCUGGCUGGCUGAGUCGGUAAGGCAUGAGACUCUUGAUCUCAGGGUUGUGAGUUCAAGCCCCACGUUGGGUG
rnacentral:tRNA from 1 species